rnacentral:lncRNA from 1 species
UCCUUAAAUUAAAAUACAUACUGUGAUAAGCAAGAAAACCUCAAAUUCCGUCCAAACUCCUUCAAUUUUGUCGAUAUACUAUCACAUUUUUUGGAAGAAAGAAGACAACUGCGUGCCUGGAGACAAAAUUCUACGUCAUAACCAGACAAAUAAAAAGACAAAGAACCUGAAAAAAAACCCAAUAAAUUUGAAUUUUGAACAUAAAAUGCGACUAUCACUAACCUCUUGAGAAGCAUUUUGGAUGCAUCAAAACUACAGUUUCAAACAUUCCCACGCCCAAAAAUUGUUUAGUAAUUAUUCAGUUGCAGCUUUAAUAUUGUGGGCAUCAGUAAUUUUUGAAAGAUUCAUGUGUUCGUUCCUUUUUAGCAAACGAAAAACAAAAUUAUAUUUCGGGUUGGUUUACACAUGUGAAAUAAAAUUGGAAUUGGGAAGUUACGGAUCGUGAAAACAACUGAUGUACAAAAAAAAAAAAAAAACUUGUUGUGAGAGGUUACGAAUCGUGAGUUGCAGUUAAUUCAGGGGAUGCCAACGUUGAUUUUUUUUUUCUUCUAAAAGUAGUCCCAAGACUUUCAAACAAUUACGAAAAAGCAAACGAAAAAACAUCUUCACUUUUUGACGGGCCUUGUUCUUGAAUCAUAAAACCAUAAAAAAUGAAAAAAUAAAAAUAAACCAACAACACGUAAACUAAAUCCCUGCAUAUCAAAAUUUCUCAUGUAUUUCUUUUACUCGGCUAUGCUUCAGAAAAGAGAAAAUUAUCCGGUUUGUUUAGGCAAAUCAGGAAUAUAUGGAUGGGGGCUCUUUGCUAGGCAAAACAUUGAAGAAGUAGAUAUGCUAAUAAUUCACGUGUCCCAAUUAUUGUUGUUAAUAAUUUAAAAUAAAUGGGUCCAAUCUAAUUCCAACGUUUUUGCUUAAAUUUGGUCCUUUUGCAGAUUAUAGAAAAAUUUGGAGAAGAAAAAUUUCUUACUUGAAAUUUCAACCACCGUUGGCAGUGGCGUUCGCUGGCAGCAAAUGGUCCUUCACUCCGACUGUCGGAUGAUUUUUGUUGAACUUUUGACCGGCGGAUUUUAGAGCUUCAAUUUUCUGGAAAGUAAUAAUUGUUGAAAGAUUUGUGUGAGAAUUUGUGUUAUAUACAGAUGAGACAUGAAAUUUGAGAUGAGAAGAUCUAAAACAAAUGAAGAAAACUGAUUUCAAUCGGCGG